rnacentral:misc_RNA from 1 species
GAAAUGCGAUAAGUAAUGUGAAUUGCAGAAUUCAGUGAAUCAUCGAAUCUUUGAACGCACCUUGCGCUCCUUGGUAUUCCUUGGAGCACGCCUGUUUGAGUAUCAUGAAAUCUUCAAAGUAAAUGUUUUGUUAACUCAAUUGGUUUCUACUUUGGUAUUGGAGGUCUUUGCAGCUUCACACCUGCUCCUCUUUGUUCAUUAGCUGGAUCUCAGUGUUAUGCUUGGUUCCACUCGGCGUGAUAAGUUAUCUAUCGCUGAGGACACUGUAAAAGGUGGCCAAGGUAAAUGCAGAUGAACCGCUUCUAAUAGUCCAUUGACUUGGACAAUACUUUUAUGAUCUGAUCUCAAAUCAGGUAGGACUACCCGCUGAACUUAAGC